rnacentral:tRNA from 1 species
GCCUAGUUAGCUUAGUUGGUAGUGCGUCUGCCUUGUAAGCGCUAGGCCGCGGGUUCGAUUCCCGUUAUGCG